UACGGAGGAUCCAAGCGUUAUCCGGAUUUAUUGGGUUUAAAGGGCGCGUAGGCGGCUUGCCAAGUCAGGGGUGAAAUCUCUCGGCUCAACCGGGAAAGUGCUUCUGAUACUGGCGGGCUGGAGGAGGGUAGGGGCAGAUGGAACUUCCGGUGGAGCGGUGAAAUGCGUAGAUAUCGGAAGGAACGCCGGUGGCGAAAGCGAUCUGCUGGACCCUUUCUGACGCUGAGGCGCGAAAGCCAGGGGAGCGAACGGG
rnacentral:rRNA from 1 species